rnacentral:sRNA from 1 species
AAAUAGAUCAUCUAGGCGAUUCAUUAGUAAAUCUUUCGAGAUGCAUACAAAUUUAAAACAUGUUAUGAAUACCUCAAUGUGACUGUAAAAAAUUCUUGCUACAGCAAGAAAAAUUCUAAUACGUCAUUUCGGUUUUGGCAGCGAAAGAGAAUUGUCACCAUUAAAAAUCGAAGUGAGAGUUAACUGUUAAAAAAAUUAAUAAUAGAGAUUUUGCAAAAAAAUAUUGAAAUGGGAACAGAAUUGUUAUAAACGUAUUUUCUUAAGACUUGGAGAAGAUGGCUUUUGUUUAUGACCUUUAUUAGAGAUCAACAAGAUAAUAUGCGGUGAUUUGGCAAUGGAUUUUACAGGAACAAAGGAUACAUCAAGCAUUCAGAAAUGUUUCUCCUUUACAGCUGUUUGGGAAAUGGCGCACAGCAAACUUAGAAACGUUGACGACCUUGGAUCGACUCCAUUCUUCAGCAACAUAUUAUCCAUACCGAGUAUCAAAUAGAUAAGCGCCAAAAGUCAAUAGAAAAAAUGUAUAGCCUGUUUUGUGGAUGUCCAACAAUAACCCAGACGAGCAAACAGCAAUCGCUCGAAAUCGAAUCUUUUUCGGUUUGGAAUCAUUCAUUGGCGUUUACAUUUUUGUCGGGUGAGCAGGAGCCCAACAUUCUACCACUACCUCAAGGCACCCCGGCAUGGAAUAACUAUUAGCACCACACAGACUGAAACUUUGAGCUUCAGACUGUGUAGUGUUCAUCGUUGUCACAAGAAGCUUAGCUGCGACUACAGUCGCAGACAAUCAGCGGUAUGAAGUGAAGAGUCCCAGUGAGGAGCCGGACAGCACCGGCUCUUGCAUAAAUGCUGAGUGCCAAUGUUGCUUGAUAUGACAAACAUCUUGGUCCCGCGGCGAUCCCGGAACCAGCUUGCUCAACUAUGGAGUUAGACGACGAUCGCCACGUCCACAUACAGACAUGUGGCGACAACAACAGCAACAACAAAACCUCUAGGUACAAAGGAAACAUUUUUACUUUUGGAGCUUCUAGAAGCUCUAAUUUGUGUCCAAAUUUGCAGAAGUACGCAAAACAGAGAUAUCCGUCAAUUGUUAUAGACAACCUUUUUUGGCUCCUUACUUUUAUCAUUGAAUCCGUGGUGGGCAUCUAAGAAUGCUGAAUGUUAAUAUAUAAGGAACAAUUUUUACUUUUGAUAUACUUCUAGAAGCUCUAAUUUGUGUCCAAAUUUGCAGAAGUACGCAAAACCAAGAGAUAUCCGUCAAUUGUUAUAGACAACCUUUUUUGGCCCCUUACUUGUAUCAUUGAAUCCGUGGUCGGCAUCUAAGGAUGCUGAAUGUUAAUAUAUGUAUAAUUUUAUAAUAUAAA